GCAUAUAUUUAGAAAAUUUCAAAGCAAAAUGAAUCACACACCCUUUGCAUUGUUCCGGUGAUAAGAAUAUCAAAUAUAUAUUACAGAUAAAUUAACUUUUGAUUGCUAUCCCUCUCAGGUCAUUCAUUCUUACCAUCAAUUUGUAGUGACGCUUUCUGUCGGUUUGCAUCAGAUACUUGACUCUCCACAUCAUCAAUAUAUAUUGGCACCUUAAGUGGAUCAGCAUAUGAUUUAUUUCACAUCCUUCAUUGCUACUUCUUCUGAUUGAUUCUCCACAUCCCACUGCACUGCUUUGGGUUGAUCUGCAACAGAUUGGUCCUCCACCUGUUGCUCCGUAUUAGCUAUUUCAAUUAUAAUCAUGAAUAUUAUCACGACACCCGCUACGUCAAUACAUACUUUUGUAGCAUAUGAAAAGUUUUUCCAGAAAACUUCCCAAGGGUGAUUUUUCAGGUUAAGCUCCAUGAAAUAGGCGAAAGCUAGUUGAAGAUAUGAUACGAGAACUAUAAAAUCUAAAGCAUUUGUUGUGGUGAGAAGUUUUUCACUUUUGGGUGGAGUGACGGAUUGGGAUGGUGGAGUAAGUUGAGCUCUCUUUCUUUCGACAAUGAGCAUUUGACAGUAACUGCCAAUGGCCACUAUCCCAAAGCCUGUCAUCCAGUAAACUUUCCAAAUAUUUGCAUCCCCUGUUGCAGACUUGGAUAAAGCAAGGAGUGCUAGCUUAUAUAGAAAUUUCAGAUAUUCAGCUCUAUUUCUGUUCAACUGAAAAAAGUAGAUUGAACAAUAAAAUUAGAACACCUAUGUAGAACCAAUCUAAAGCAAUACUAGUAGAACACAUAUGUCGAACAAUUUCAAAAAUAUCACAAAGUUUCUACAUGAUUUAUAAAGAAAGAAGGGGCUUCAAAUAUCAUAUCUUGUUAGACAAUCUGUAAGAAAAAGGAGAUCGAACAAGUUGUGUUCGUGUGUGUAUAAUGUAAUAAGAGAUACAAUCGAAAGAGACAUGAAAGAAAGGAUAUGAAUGAAUCCGAUCCAAUGCAAACUACCUCCUAACGUUACAGAAGAACGACACCACUAUCGAGCUAGAAUCGAGCACGAUAAUUAUUACUAAGAGACAGGACUGUGAUGCAUUUAGAAUACUACUCUGAUUUAACAACACUACUAUGAUUUUCAUUCAUCUCAGGUCGCACACGCGGAAAAUACCAAGGCUUGCGAGGCCACUAACCUUGCCUUGAAAUCCCACAACAAACACAUUUAGACACAGCACAAGUGUCUUGUUAUAUAAAAUCUUGAUAUGCUCUGCUUUAUCUUUUAAAUGUGAAACUUAAGAUUCUAUUCAAGAUUCACCUACUGAAAACACAAUAAUUCUCAAAAUGGCUAGACAAUAUAGGGCUAAAACCCACAUUUCUUCUUACAUAUCUAUCACCAUAAAUCAAGCAUCAUAGAUUCGCAUACUAAAUCUACCUAUAUAUGAGAUUAUCUUCCACAAAAAUACAUGAAACAAAACAUAACCUGAUGAUAACACAUGACUUAAUAUACAAAACACACCUAAGCAAAUCAGGGGAAAACACAUGACUUAUUUUUUAGAUUUUUUUUCAAUAAAAAUUUAACAUCCAAACUUUAAUUCAAAAAAAAAUAUUUAAAAAUAAAUUGCACAACUACACUUUGUAGGAGCAUUAAAGUCGUGUCGCGUCCCCAUCCAGGAUGUAAGUAUACAGGGAGACGGAUGGAGUAGCAACCAAGCAUCAUAGGUUUGUGAUUUUCAUAUUUUUCGUUUGUAAACUACUAUUAACCUCAACCAAGCACCCCAGGCCUCAGUAACACCCCUAAUUCUCCCCUUUUCAACCUCCUUAAUCCACCCUAGUUUCCGGAAAAAAAUCCCAAAUAUUGUUUGAAAUUUUGUUCACAACAUUGGUUUAAAUAAUAGAUCUAACUAAAUUACAGGAAAGCACAAUCUCUGCAGAUCAUCGGAGAAUCGCCGGAGAUCACCGGACCACUGCCGGAGAUCGCCGGAAAAUAUGAUGAAAACUCAUAAAAGUUUCGGAAAUGUACCUCAGAAGGGAGGUUCUUGAUGAAGCUUCGAAUCAUGGAAAACAAGGCAGUGAUUUUGUCCGUGACGACGAUGACGUGGCGGAGGUAGCUGCCUUGCUCCCUGCAUACAUGGUAAAUAUAACCAGAAAACAAGAUUAAGAACAUAAAAAGAGGCAGCACAAUCCAGCAUAAUUCCUUAACGUUAACCAUUUUGUUUGAAGCUAAUAAAAGUAUUAGUUUCAGAGACUAGACAGCUUUGUAAGAAGAAUAAGAGCGGAAAGUAGUGAGUCUAGAUACUGGAUAGUUUGUCUUUUAUACUACCCUUGUUUUAUGGAAAAGGGUACACGUGAGUCGUGACACCUGGCUGCUUCUGGUCAAGGCUUCAUAUUGAGGCAAGUAGCCAAGUUAGGGUUAAAAAUGGGGUGGGGAAAAUGGGGAACCCGCCCCAACCCGUUUCGAAUGGGGCAGAUCCGCCCCGCUAAUAUGGGGAAUGGGAUAGUGACGGGGAAUGAUUUUCCGCCCCGCCAAAAUAUGGGGCAAGUAUGGUAUUUGUUGACCCCCCGCGGGGAUUCCCCGCCCCGCCCCGCAUAUAUUUAAUAUAAAUAAAUAAUUAUAUUUAAUAUAAUAUAUUUAAUAUAUAUAAUAUAACAUAUUUAUUAUAUUUAAUAUUAUUAUUUUAUAAUACGCAAAACUAUAAUUUUACAAUGUAUAACAUGUCUCUUUGAUUUCUAUUAUAUUUAAUUUUUUGCUUUUAAUAUACAUGUCUCGUAUAUUUUUAUUAAAUUCUGAAGAAAAAAUUACUAAAUUUUAAAGUAAUUAUUUAAAGUGUAAUAUUAUAGCAGCAGGGCGGGGCGGAGCGAAAUUAUAUUAAAUCCUCGAUGGGGGGAAUGGGGCGGGGACGGGGCAGGAAAAAUAUAUAUGGGGCGGGGCUGGGAAAUGAAGUACCCGCCCCAUUUUUAACCCUAAGCCAAGUACCGCCUCUUCUUGCAAGUUACAACUGUCAAUGCUGAGCUGGCUGCCACGACAGAACGCACUUGAUGUGAAAUGUGAAUGUCAUCGGAUCUGGCCCCACCUCAAAUUCCUCAUCCAAGAUUUUUGUUAUUUGACUCAUGCAUGAAAGUUACUCUCUGUGUCCUUUUCAUAAAGAAUGAGCUUAUGUUUUUUUAUCUGCUCAAAUGUAUAUCUAAAAAACUGCAGAAUAUAAUUUUUAAAAAAAAAACUGUAGAAGAUAAACUGUAGAAGAUAAUUUUUAAAAAAAAAACUGUAAAAAAAGCUGAGAGCAGCGAGUAGAGAGAGUUAGGUUGAGAGAAAGAGUCUAUUUGUUUUUAUAUAUGAUCGUCAGUGGGUGUUUGGGGAGAGCACCAACUUCUGCUUUUAAGUUAUUGUUUGGAAAAAAGGGUUAGGUCGGUUUAUAUGGGAAUUUUUGAGCUGAAAUCAGAAGUUGAGUUUCUUAGCGUUUUUCCCCCCAUACACCACUUUUUUUUUUAAAUUAUUAUUACAAAUAUGACUUAUAGCAGUAUAAUUUAGUAUCAGCGUAGACAAUCUCGAGACGAGGCAGAAUCGAAUUCAGAACCUCGCCACAUACACUCAUUCUUAUUGAUCUGACCCGAUUUAUAUAAGAAAUUGAGAAUACUGAUUUUCGUUAUUCAUUUUUCAAAUAAUUUAAUCUCUUAUAAGUUUAAAUUUGUUUUAAACUCAACCAAACGACCCCUUAACCACGUGAACAAAGCACGCACAAGUGAGAAACAAAGGACAAAAAAUUAAUAGUAAUUAUUUAAUAUUAAGAUAUAAUAUUAUAUUAACUUGUUUCUUAUAUUAUUUAAUAAUAUACUUUUUUCAAUAAUAUAUAUAUUUAAAUUAUUAAACUUUUGAUGAAUUAAUAAAUAUAAUUAUCCAAAGACUUCUAUAAUUUAUAAGUCACAUCAUUUCUUAAUCUAUUUAUCAUUUAUAAUACAGUUCUAUAUUUUAAAUAACAAAUAAUUUUUCUUAAUAUUAGCCGAGCGGUCCCUCAACGUGUUCCAUGAAGCUUUCUGUUUUCAUAUUUUGGCUAACUAUUCGAUGAAGCUUUUGAUUUAAAAGUUUUGAACCCUUGUAAGCGAAAAAAGAUAAUGAUGUAGACACUUGUAUUGAUCUGUAAUCUCAGCCGUUACUUUCGAUCUCUAACCAUGCAUUUGCAUGGAAGAAUGACCUACCCAGAAAUGAGUCCAGUAGAAAAUUUGUAAUGCGGCUGUGUGAAUGGAGAAUGGUCGUAGCGGGGAGUCGAGAGCAGAGUGUCUGUACUACUAGAAAAUCAGCAUCAGACAUCGCACAUUAUACAUCAGUCAAAAAAGUCACCAAUGUUAAAGGCCUUUCUUGCAUCACCAGAAAAAUAAGUGAUGUCUUUUUAAUAUCUUUACAUUUGUCUCUAAGUAAUGUGAUGUCUAAACUUUCUUUUUGAAAUUUCGUUACAUCAAUCUAUAUGUAAAUCGAUGUCUAAGUUCAAUUUUAAAAAUUCACAACCCCUAUACUUCUCCCUUUUCCUCAGGCGCUUAGCCAAUUUUUUUAGUUUCCCCCUUUUGUAUAGUUUGCCUCCAUUUAAACAUAAAUACCGUCCCGCCUAAUCAAUCAUGGAGUAUAAUAAAAUAAUAAAAAACUUUAAAAAAUAUAUCAAAAUCAGAAUCAAAACAUACAAAACUAGUAAACAAACAUAUCGGGGUUUUAUUUUCAGACUAAAGAGUUUGCCAUUCCCCCUUUCUCUCGACUGCUAGCUUAGCUUAAACCUAAACGCGUGAUUAAAUCUUCAAUCUCCGAUUAAACCACUCAACUUCUUCUUUUCAUCCUUUAAUUCCUUUCUCUCUUUCAAAUGUUCUAAUUUCUGAUUUGUUUCAAUUAAUUGAAAAGAUUCGAAGAUUAAAGUGAAGCUAUUGUGUUCGCCUUUGAAGUGUAAGGUUCGAUCUUGAGGAGUGGGGGUGGUUGGAGCUUAAAUCUUGAAGCUUGGUGUUUUUUAAAGCUUAAAGUUUGGAGCUUGCAGUUUAGUUGGAUUUUAGGGUUUGGAGUUGGAUUAUAUUUUGGAGCUUGGGUUUUUAGGUAUAUUCUUCUUUAUAUUUGUAUAUAUAUUUGUUUGGGCUGUAUGUAUAAAUUUGUGUGGUUGUGUGAAACUGAAAUGUGUAGUUGUUGUAUGUGUAGUUAUAUGUCUAAAACUGUUUGUAUAUUGUCCUCUUAGAAAUUUUUGUAUGUUUUUAUGUUUUAUAGGCCCCCUGUAAAAAUAUAAUGUGGCUAAUUAUAUUUAAAAGUGUUUAUGGUUUAGCUCCAUUGACAUUUAUGUAGGGGGCAUUUACUAUAUAUUCGGAUGAAGUAUGGCAUCCUACAAUAUGUUAAGUUGAUCGAUAAGUCCCAAUCACAAAUUUCCCCUGAACUCAUGAUGUUGUGCUUUAUGACAUUGUUCCCCACUUCAUAACUCUCAAUUAUUCUAUGAAAAUAUAAGUGAACAGUAUGCAUUUGUGUGCUUUAAUUGCCUUUCUGUUGCUGCUUUAUUGAUAACAAAAUUCUCCGUAUGCAUGGUGUAUUCUCUGUCUGGCUUGUUGAUCGAUUGUAUGCAAACUCAGCUUGAACUAAUUAGAUCCUAUUGGCGAGGAUUUUUGCCAACUAAACUUUGCAAUAGAAAGGCAUAUUGGUCGACAUGAAGGAGGACUUGCUUGUUCUUUGAGGGAAGCUGUAAUCUUUGAAGCUCAUGAAGGACGACUUGUAGACACAUUGGUAGAGAUAAAACUCUUGCCCUGCUAUUCUUUUGACAUUUUAGACUUGGGAAACUAAAAGAUAUAAUCGAUAUCAAUUUUAGGGACUUGCUAGUACAUGAACUAGACUAGGCAAUGAUAAGAACACAAGAAACUAACCUUAAUGCAAAUACUUUAACUUAGAAUGUACCAUUCUGGACAGCCUGACCACCUCUGACUAAAAAUGGGAUAACUUCUUGUAGGAAACGUAUUUUUUAGAUCCGUAAAAUUUGCUGAAAACUAGACUCCUCUACCUUUCCAAGGGUAUAUCACACUGCACCCGUAAAUUCGUAGAUUAAAUCAGUUUAUUCAUCAAAGUGGACUCAAAUUAUUCUCAGAAUUCUCAUUUUUCUGUGUCACCAAAUAACACUGAGUUCAAGAACACUGGACUUAGAGAUAAGAGCUGCAAAGAACUUAUGUAUACUUCUGGUACUUUUUAAUAUACUCCUUUUAUUAUAAUAUAACCUGAUGGAUUUUUUUUGGAUCCUCUUAGAAACAACUUUGAACCUGUGAAACUGCAAUCUUAGCUUAUAAAUGGUUCUUCAUAGGAUUUUUACACAAGUUCUGGAAAGAGAAAACCUGAUCAGAUAACUACUACGUUUCCCUGUCUUAAUAUAUAGCACUAACUAGUAUCAUGUCCAAAACUUGUUCAUUUGUUUAUUGUUUAAACAAUGAUUUAAAUAAUGGAUCAUUUCUGCUCAUGCUCAUGGGCAUAACUACCAUCAAAUUGUAGCUUGGAGCUGUGCUUUCCUUGCAUGGAUGUUACAAAUCAUCACAACAAGGUGGGGGUGAUGGUAUGUGUAACAUAUUUAUCAACUUGGUAAGGUGCUCAAAAUAUAUAUCAUCGUGUUUUCGUUCAAUUAACUAACUAUUAACAUUUCCUCAUCUUCUUUCCGCUCAACACAGGUGGCCUUAUCCAUUCCUUGACCUGUCACAUUCGUUUUCUCCACUGUGGUAUGCAGUAUUUUAGUAUCAGAACUUGCAACGUACUAAAACAAGCAGAAUUUCUAAGCUCGCGUUUUUACAGUAUUAGACAAGAAAAUGUAAAUCAGUUCUGAUUAAAGUUUUGUCGGUGUUCUUAGAUAUAAAAAAAUUCAUUCUGUAUUAAGUUUUAUUGUGAUAUGAAAAUGACAAUGAAUAGUUUGGUAGACAAUGAAUAGUUCAGGGAGUAAUUUAAUUAAAAUAGCAAUAUACAUUGCAGGUUCAGUUAUAACCGUGGUUUCACAGAUAAUAGCAAAAUUCUCGCUUGAAUAAUAAAUGCAAUAAACAUAGAUUUUGAUGGGAGAUCCUUAAUAAAUUUACCCUUUCAAAUAUCACUUUCAGGUUUGAUUACCUUGGAUGGUCAUGAUAUGAAGACAUUGCAGGUCCAUUAGCUAAGAAGUCAGAUUGGGAUGGUGGGUUAGAAACCAGUUCUAUUUGCUACAAUUAUACUAGAAAAUGUGAUGAUGAGAAGAGAAAAUGCCACUAAAAAAGAGGCUAUUAAAGCUUGAUACUACAAGUCGUAAUCUUUUGUGGGAGGUUGGAGAUCGCGGAACUCAAAUGUCUGGAGGACAAAAAAGAGGAUUGCAUUGGCUAGAGCAAUGAUUAAAGAUCCCGCAGAGAUAUGGAGCCUGCAGAGACCAAAGUUUAGCAUGUUGAUGGUGGGACUUAAAUUUGGUAUGUUUGUUGGUGCAAACACACUUUCUGUAAUUUAUGACAUUAGAAAUUGUUUAGCCACGGUUACAGGAUAUGGGAGAAAUUUAGCUGAUAAAUUAUGUCUGGGAUGAACUAUAGUGUAAAUUAUGGUUUGUAAAUGUCUAGUACUAGAUUUCGAGUUAUGUAGUUUGCUUGUAUUCAUGAAAUUAUUUGGGCAUUGAUUGCAUGGACUGAUGUCAUAAGCAGGCAUACAUAUCAGCUAAUAAGAAAAAAACCGAUGUAAACUUAUAUUAAAGAUAUCACAAAAUAAAGAAAAUGAUGUAAAAAAAAAACAAAGACAUCGGUUUCAUAAAAAAAAAAAGAUACCACAUCGCUUCUGAUAAAAGAUUGAUGUAAAACGUGAAGCUACACAUCAGUUCCACAAGUUUUUCGAUGUUAAUGUAUCAAUUUAUUGUAUAUGUGAUAAGUUUAAAAUGAUAUAAAUGGCAUGCAAUUGAAGAAUUGAAAUCAUAGUGAAGGUAUACUUUGAAGAAAAAUACAUCAGAUCUUUAAAGAAAAUGAUGUCUAAAGAGUUUAUACACAUCGGCUAAAAAGCGAUGUGUAAUGCACCUACUUUUCUCAUCGCACGCGAAGACAUCGCUCGGAUUUUCAAUAGACAUCGCUUAUUAGCCGAUGUCUAUUAACUCAAAAUGUGAUGAUGUUAUCGUCAAAGGAAACAUGCACGAAAUUUCUUCGGUGCCCUGUAAGAGCAUCUCCAAGGGAACAAAACCCUUAGCUAAAUUGUCUACAUGGCGCUUAGGUGACAUCUAGGUGUCAACUUUUAGAAAAUAUGUAAAAGUUUUGGACUCCAACCAUAUUCCCCUUGGCAAAAAUUAUAGAUAACCAUAUUUUGAUUGGCUAUAUUUGCUGAACCAACAAACCUUUUAGGUAUAAUUUUAGCUAUCAUAUUAUACAUAAUACCAUUGAAGUGUCCACCCUUCCCCUUAGGUAAAAAUUUACUUAAUCAUUAUUUUAUUAUAUUUUAGCUAACAGUUUUUAUUAUCACCUUUGGUGAUGCUCUAACAAACUUGUGUAUGGUAUUUUGAUAUCGGCCUAUUGUAUCAAACUUUAUCUGACUUGUCUCGCUUUCUCAAAUUUGCGUGGAUUAUAAAAAAAUUUGAAGGAAAACUUGCUAGAGCAUCUCCGAUCAUGAAACCCUUAACUAAAAUAUAACUUGGCAAUACCAAAAAUAAUAAAUAUAGGGGGUGUUUGUUUCCGGCUUAAAAGCCGGGCUUCUAGUUUAUAAGUUGGAAGCACUUAUUUGUAUCGUUUGUGUAAAAAGUCAAGAAGCACUUAUAAAAAGCUAGGAAUGCUAACUUUUGUUUCGGGGCUUCUGCUUAUUUUCCAAACACUUUAAUCACUUAUCUUAACUUGCUUCUAACUUCUACUCCACUUUUUUGUUUUAAGUAAGAAGCACUUAUUUUAAACUCACCCAAACGGCCCCAUAGUCAGUCUUUCGAAAAACUCACACUUCAACUAUAGUUAUCUGUUUUCUAUAAUUUUAGUUUUAAAAAACAUCUUAUAAUGAUUAUAUUUAUCGAACCUCUACAGGUGUGUAAGAAAUCUGUCGGAAGAUUACACAUCAUUUAUUACCAUAUUGAACUGAACUGAUAUGAUCUAUUUUAACAAUAUAAAAUAUUAAUAACAUACUCUUUAUAAAUUAUAGACGACCAAUAUAGCCAAUAUCAUUAAAGCACAAUGUCUUACAGGUUCAGCAUAAUGUCUUGCAGAUUCAGUUUAGCCAACGAUUAUAGCCAACCUCAUUGAACAUGCUCUUAGAGCAUCUCCAACGGUGUUGGCUAUAAUCAUUGGCUAAAUUAGACCUGUAAGACGUUUUGUAAAAUUUGCUGAACCUGUAAGACAUUUCGUUUCAAUGGUAUUGGCUAUAUUGGUUGGCUAUAAUUUAAAGAUAGCAUGUUAUUAAUAUUUUAGAUUAUUAAAAUAGAAUAUAUCAGUUCAAGAUGGUAAUAAAUGAUGUGCAAUCUUCCUACAGAUUUCUUACAGACCUGUAGAGGUUCGACAAAUUUAGCCAUCCAUAAGAGGUUGGCUAAAUUUAGAGACAAUAGGUCACUAUGGUUGGAGUGUGAACUUUUGAAGUGAUUGGCUAAAUUUUUUAUUUUUGGCACGACAACUCACUUUUUAGCUAAGGGGUCUUCAUGGUUGGAGAUGCUCUUAGCCUACAUAUGAAAUCAUUAUUCAACCACCUAAGAGCAUCUCCAACGGUGUUGACUAAAUUGGACUUAUAAGACCUUAUGUAAAAUUUGUCGAAGCAGUAAGCUAUUUUGUUUCGAUGAUACUGGCCAUAUUGGUUGGCUAUAUUUCAGAAUUAGUAAUUUAUUAUUCUUUCAAAUUGUUAUUAUAAAAGAAUGUAUAUUAUCAUAUGGUAAUAAAUGAUACGAAAUCUUAGUACAUGCCUGUAGGCUGUAAUGGUUGGCCAAAUAUAGCCAACAUCAAUUGGUUGGCUAUAUUUUUAGAUAAAGGUUAUGUGUGGUUGGAGUGGAGCUAAUUUCACACAUUAUCUACAAAUUUUAUUUAUGGUAUGAUUUAAUGAAUUUUAGCUAAGGGUUUUGAUGGGUUGGAGAUGCUCUAAAUAAGUAAUGUAUUCUAAGUUUAAGUUUAUCCGAUGGUCCAAUUAAAUCUCUAUACCGAUUUAUUUUAAUUUUGAAAUUUAAUUUUAAAAGAUGAUAUUUUGAUAUUUCAAAAUUAUAUUACGUUUACAAAUUACAUAAUAUGUUAUAAAUUACUAACAAAUUAUCUAAAAAUUAGACUCAAACGAGAACAAGUCCCUCGACAACUAGUGUAUUGCGUAAACAGACGAUAUUUUGUUAUAAUAUAAAAAUGAUAAUUUUUAUGGUGAAGUUUGAUAGUGAAAUUUAUAACAACUUACUGUAAAAACCGAAAACAAUUUUUUCCAAAAGAAUGGAAGGAUCUACUUUUUCUAAAAUCAGCUUUUCAGCUAAAACGUGCGGUUUAGAAUAACUGCUUUUAGAUUUAUCAAACGGUUGUUAGGUGCAUGCAAGAGCAAUCCAAACAUUACCUUAAUCAUGUCCAACUUUUUUGGAAUCCCACAUUAAGGCUGCUUCUUGUCAAGGCUUUACAAUCAAUCAAGUACCAACUUUUCUUACAACUGUCAAUAUGCUUAGCUGAGCUGCCACAACAGGCGCACUUAAUGUGGAGUCCAUUCCCAAACUAACCUAGUUUGGAGUUGGUUUUCCCAAUCUAACCUACUUUGUUCGAUUCUUCUCAAACUAACCUACUUUACUGUUCAAACUCAGUCUUUUCAUUUUUCAGAUUUUAUUUCAUUUAUAAAAAUCCUUUUAUAUUAUAUAUAUAUAGUAAUACCAAACGGGUUAUAUAAAAUUCAUAAUUUAUAUUAUUAUUAUAUUAAAAUUUAUAUUUUACGUAGAUAAUUAUUAUUGAUUAAUAAAUAAAUAUUAAGUUAAGUAUAUUUAUAUUAAAAUUUGUAAUUAAUUAUUGACUUAUAUAAAUAAAUGAAAUUUAUAUUUUUAAAAUUAUUUAUUUUGUAAUUUUUUUAUGAAUUGUCAAAUCUACUGUAAAGUUGUCUGCUUGUAAGAAAAUAAUGUAUCUGUGGAAACGAAUUGUCACCUCAAUGUAAGCUUUUUCUAGCUGCUAUUCAAAAUUUAAAACAGAGCAGUCUAGUCUAGUCAAACAGUAAGAUUUUCAAAAUAAUUUUACUUUUUCAGCUGCAUGCUAUUCAAACUUUUCAGUGUAUAGUCACUUCAACUGUUUUUAAAAAUAAUAAUUCAACACCUCUAACAUUAUUAUACCACUUGAAAUGGCUAUAUAUACAUGCACUUAGACUCCUGCAUUGAAACACAACAUAGCAAACAAAGGUACUUUUAUUUAAAUUUCUCUCAAUUCUAGGUAUUCUUAUUAUAAGCUUGUACACAUUAUACUAAAUUUUGUCAUUUGUAUAUUUUCAUUUCAGAUGGAAAAUUCAAAUUCAAACAAUUAUCCAGAUUUUGGAGAUCACUAUGGAGAUCAUUUCAUGAGUCAAAAUAAUAAUUAUUAUGAUAAUUAUAAUCCUUUUCAGGCUCAAGAUACAAAUGUUGGUACUAGCCAAAAUAACACAAAUUUUUAUCACUCCCAGGAAAUUCAAAUGGAAGAAAUUAUCAACGAGGGAGUAAGAAGAUCAACUGCAGUCUAUAAUCUAAGCGAAACUGACAAUUUUAACUCAUAUCAGGAAGUGGAUAGUGAGGACUUGGAUAGUGAAGAAUUAGACGGUAGUGACGAUGCGAAUGAUUCAGAUUCAUCAAGCGAUGCAGGUGCUGAUGGUCAAAAUAAUGAGGCAAAUUAUACGGAGGAACAUACUCCUAGUGCGCCAUGGUUUGCAACUGAAGAUGUCACCAACAAUGAUAAUCCAGGUUUUAUUCCGAACUUUAAUCCACUUACAGAUGAUCUGUUUGAAGGUCAGUGUUUUGCAGAUAAGCAAACUGCUAUUAGUGCAAUAAAAGAGAUCCAUAUCAAAAAAUCCAGAAACUAUCAUGUUGUGAAGAGUACUACAACAUUGUAUGAGGCAAAAUGUGUUGUGUCUGGAUGUCCAUGGCGAAUUAGAGCUAUAAAAAGAAAGAGAUAUGGUCACUUCGAAAUCACCAAACUCCCUGUUGAACACAAUUGUCUUUUGAGAACAAUCCAACGAGAUCACAAGCAACUUAGCUCAAAGUUAAUUGCAGAUGUUAUCAAAAAUCAAGUACUAUAUACAUUCAAGUAUUCAACAAAACACUCACACGCACACGCACACACACAUAUAUAAGAUUUCUUAUUUCAUGUUUAUUCGUCUAGGUAAAGGAGAGCCUGUACUUAAAAGUAAGAAAUAUCCAGAGCCAAAUUACGGAGAUGUAUAAAUAUCAUGUUAGCUACAAGAAGGCAUGGAUCGGAAAGCAAAAGGCCAUAUCAGAUGUGUAUGGUGAUUGGGCUACUUCGUACUCCAAGCUUCCACAAUUUUUAACUGCUUUGAUGCAUUUUAAUCCAGGUACAAGAGCUAUUAUUGAAGCUGAAAAUAUAACUGGAGAUGAAAUUACAUCAGUGUGCAAACGUGUAUGGUGGGCAUUCAAGCCGAUGGUUGAUGGAUGGCGACAUGCUAGACCUGUUAUUAGCAUUGAUGGUACAUUUCUAAAAGGAAGGUACAAUGGAAAAUUGUUGAUCGCAAUGGGGUUCGAUUCAAAUAACCAUCAAUAUCCACUUGCUUAUGGCCUUGUUGAUGAAGAAACAACAAUCAAUUGGUCAUGGUUCUUACGUUUACUCCGAAGAUAUAUAUGCCAGGAUAGGAGAGGAGUAUGUAUAAUUUCAGAUCGUCACGCUGGAAUUAUUGAAGCAAUGAAAAAAGAUCAAAAUGGUUUCACCGGUGACAUGGGUAUACACCGUUUUUGUCUUCUACACAUUCGUAGUAAUUUCAGUUCAGCAUAUCCUGGAACACAUUUGAAGAUGUUAUGUUGGCUAGCUGGAAAUACAUCUCAAGUGAGAAAGUUCGAUGCAGCAAUGAAGCAAAUUAAAGAGCUCAAUCCUGAUGCAGAAAAUGGCUUCGUAAUAUCCCGCUUGAGAUGUGGACAAUGUCUUUUGAUGGAGGACAUCGUUAUGGGCAAGCAACGACAAAUAUGAUCGAAAGUUUCAACGGAUGUAUAAGAUCUGCUCGUUUUCUGCCGGUCACAUCAAUGGUGGAGUAUUUAUAUUAUCGCUCCGUAAAACUUGUUGCAGAAAGACGUACACAGACCUUAAAUGAUCUCCAAAAUGGUCAUAUUUAUUGCCAGAAAUCAAGAGAGCUAUUCGAAAAUAUUGAAAAGAAGGCAUCAGCACACAAAAUCAUCCCGUAUAAUGAACAAAGAGGAAUUUUCGAAGUGACUACUGCUCGUUACAAGACUCAGAAGGGGUAUUGGAAAGGUGGCAACAAGCAUACAAUUGACCUUGGUAAAGGCUUUUGCUCUUGUGGAAAAUGGAGUCGAUAUCAUUCCCCAUGUUCGCACAUAGUUGCGGGUUGUUUGAUGUGCAGUCUUGAUUGGAAACAAUAUAUUGAACCAUCUCAUAGUUUGACAACAUUAUAUGAGAUGUGGAAAUAUGAAUUUUUUCCACUCGCUAAUCAAGCUUAUUGGACAUUUCCACUGGCAAAUAAUUGGGAAAGAUAUGGCACGCUCUUUCCAGAUGAGAAUUUGAAGAAGAAGAAAAAUAAACGAGGACAGAGAGGUCAAAGUCAGCGUAUUCGGACAGAGAUGGACAAUUCAAGAAAAGCUAUAAGUUGUGGGAGAUGUGGACAAGAAGGCCAUACAAGACGUAGCUCACGAUGUCCUCAAAAUAAGCAUUAGUAACGCAUAAAUGCAUGUGUAAUUGUCUUUUAUUAAUUAUGAAGUCUUUUAAUUUUAGUUGUAGUAUUAUUUUAUAUUAUUUGUAUUGUUUAAUAUAUGUUUUGUAUUUGAAAAUUAUGAAAUUUGUGAUAUAUUUAUAUAUUUAUAAUUUAUUAUUAUAAAUGAAAGAAUUCUAGUAAAUUAAAUAAAAAUUUAAAAAAUAAAAAGAAAAUACAAAAACUGAGUUUGAACAGUAAAGUAGGUUAGUCUGGGAAUGAUUGAACAAAGUAGGUUAGUUUGGGAAAACCAACUCCAAACUAGGUUAGUUUGGGAAUAUGCUUAGCUGAGCUGCCACAACAGGCGCACUUAAUGUGAAUAUCAUUGGAUCUGCCCCCACCUCAAAUUCCUCGUCAAAGAUUUGAUUGUUAUUUGCGGCUUUUCUUUGUCAUGGAUAAAAGUUGAUUAGUUUAUGUGUGCCUUUCGCAAGCAAGUCGGGCCUCUUUCUAAUAAAAACUAGCUUACGUUUUUCUAUCUGCUCAAAAGUCUUUCUAAGAAACUGCCCAGAGAAGUUAAAACGUUAGAAAGCUAAUUUUUUAGAAAUUUAUUAUAAAUAUUAUUCCCUCGGUUUUGUCCAUUUUAUACAGUUUGCUUUUUAACAUCUCACUUAAUUGUAUAUAUUAUAAAAAUAAAAUAAAAUUUAAUAAUAUAAAAAUUUAACUACAUCCAUUAGUUUCUCUCCCUACAUCCACCUUGUACGUUAAAUAUUGAUGGUUCUCACCACUAUACCCAUUUUAUACAUAAAUAUUAGUUAGUCUCACUUCUUCACCCACUAUUCUUACUUUUCUUCAUUAAAUUACACUUUUUCUUAAUCUGCGUAUCAUUCUUCAUGUAUACACUUCUUAUUGGAACGGAGAGAGUAUGUGUUUGAAAUUUUUUAUAAUUUUACUACUUCUGAAAGUAUGUGUAAAAAUAUUAUCUCCAACUAAAAGCAGUUACGAGUUGACAUAUUUUGGAAGCGAUGUAAUAUGCCAUCAUUGUCGAUUUUUGUAAAUAUUUCCUUCUCGAUAUACACCACGAAACUAUUAUUCAUCCAUUCAUCCAUUCAUCUCCCAUCUUGUUUCUCAUUAUGUCUUGACUCCCAUCUUGUUUCUCAUUCUGUCUUGACUAUAUUCAUUGCAAAAAAUACUCUUUUAACAGAAGCUAUUGCAACACAGAUAAAAAUAAUGCCAAUUUUAUCAAACGAUAUACUAAUGGACAAGUUUGAGCUUUCCUAGUUGCUACCUAACAUAUUGCAUGUGUUAUUUUUGUUGAAUGAAGUAGUCCGCCUGAGCCAAUUUUAAUGGACUAAUAACCAAUGAGUUUGGCAAAGUAUAUGUGUAUUAAUGUAUAUAUCUUUUGUUUUACUCCCUCUUUGUUUCAAAAUACAUGUUUAUUUUAAUAAAAUAAAAAUUGUUUCAAAAUACUCGUUCACUUCAACUUUUAAUAUAAAUUUAUAUUUCCAAAAACAACUCUCCUUCACAUAUUUCAAAUUUAUAUUUUCAAGAUCAACCAUAUACCACAUACUCCCUCCGUCUCAUAAUAAGAGCUGUUUUGACUUUUUACACGUAACUUGAGGUGUAUAAAAAACAUACUUUCACAUAUUAUUUUUUUUUCAAAUAAAAAUUUAGCGUCUAUAUUUUUGUUAAAAAAAGAAAAUUUAAGAAAUAAUACAUAGAAGUAUAGUUUUUCUACAUCUCAAAUUACGUGUCAAAAGUCAAAGCGACUCUUAUUAUGGGACAGAGGGAGUAUUAGAUUCAAUUAAUGAUUUGAUACACCUUUUUUUCUCAAAAUCUACUUUUCUUAAAUUAUGUGAUUUUUUGAAAGUGGACGUGUAAUUUGAAACGGAGGGAGUAAUUUUUUUUUAAUGGGGUAGCAAACAAUAAUUUAUAAAAUCAAAUUUAUAUAAAAAAAAAAUAUAUUAGUGAAGCAGGUCGGUGGACUCCAAGCACAUGGUUCCUUCCGCCACUGACAACAAUUAGGUUUAACAAGAAAAAUAUGUCAUGUCCAGCUCUUUAGAUAAUUAAGUAUUAAACAAAUUAAUCCUUACUUUCUUUACCAAACUGUGACAACUCAAUAGUUCCAGCUUUAUUAUUUCGAAGACCUAUUUCAAGUGUUUUUCUAAACAAUUUAAGUAUUUGGUUUAUAUCAAAAUUCAAGAUAAUCUAAUAUGUUUUUUUGAGGCACGCAAAUAAUAAGUGGCCUUCCGUUUUCUCGACUCUUAUUAUAUAAAAAAAGAAUUAUUGGAAAGAAAUUUUGGGAGAGAAGUGCUAAGUUGUAUCUUAUAACUUCUAUUUCCCUUUGACCUUUUUUCCUAGUAAAUAUCUAUUUUUCUAAAUUAAAAAACAUUAAAUUUAACUUAAUACUUUAAUCACUUAUUUUCAUUCAAAAUUUUUAAUAAUUUCUAAGUCACAACUUAUUUAUAAUAAACAAAUUUCUAAUAUCUCAUACACCGGUUUUCUAGAAAAAAUGUAUGAAUAUUUGAACUAUAAAGAGGGAGAUAUUUAGACUACAAUACAAAUCAUUGGACUUAAGGAAAUCAUUAGCACUUGGGCUUGCUGCAUGACCGAAAAUGACAAAUGAGUAGAAAAUUGACUUGACAUCCUCUUUUGCCAUUAUUUUUCUCCAUGUUGCUUUCUUUAAUGGGUCCUGUUCCUUGACAACCCCGUGUUAGAUAAGAGUUAUCUAUAUUUCAAAGGCCCAGAUCCAAUCUGAGAUUUUAAUGUAUCCGCUAUAAAAAACCGCGGAUAGGGAAAACUCCCAUCCGCGGUAAAUAACCGCGGAUAGAGAGUUUUCCCUUCCGCGGAAAAUAACCACGGAUACAUUAAAAACCCAAAAUUGAAUCUGAGCCCUUGAAAUAUAAAUCUAACGGCCCCCGUACAGUGUGUUAGAUAACCCUUAUCUAACACGCGGUUGCUGUGGAACAGGAUCCUUCUUUAAUAAGUAAGAUUUUCUUUCUUUUUCUUAUCUUUAAGGUUCCCCUCACUGUUCAUCAAUAACCACCAAUAACCGAAAGAGUCUAGUCAAUCAUUAUUUUUUAUACCCCGAUAAUACAACAUUAUACAAUAAAAUCUCAUUAUUUAAUACUCCGUAUGAGAAACGUGUAUUCAUAUACAAACUAUCUAUUCUAAAGUUUCUAUUACAGUCAUCACAGAAGAUGCAUUACAUUAAGAGAACCAAAAACAAGCACAUUCAGGCGUUAGAUCCUUGACUUUAAUCAAACAUCGUAGAAAAUGCAUAUAUUUAGACAAUUUCACAGCAAUAUGAAUCACACACCCUUUGCAUUGUUCCGGUGAUAAGAAUAUCAAUUAUAUUACAAAUAAAUCAACUUUCGAUUGCUAUCCCUCUCAGGCCAUUCAUUCUUACCAUCAAUUUGUAGUGCCGCUUCCUUUCGGUUCCCAUCUGCAGAUGACUGACUCUCCACAUCAUCGAUAUAUAUUGGCACCUUAAGUGGAUCAGCAUAUGAUUUAUUCCACAUCCUUCAUUGCUACUUCUUCUGAUUGAUUCUCCACAUCCCACUGUACUGCUUUGGGUUGAUCUGCAACAGAUCGGUCCUCCACCUGUUGCUCCGUAUUAGCUAUUUCAAUUAUAAUCAUGAGUAUUAUCACGACACCCGCUACGUCAAUACAUACUUUUGUAGCAUAUGAAAAGUUUGUCCAGAAAACUUCCCAAGGAUGAUUUUUCAGAUUAAGCUCCAUGAAAUAGGCGAAAGCUAGUUGAAGAUAUGAUAAAAGAACUAUAAAAUCUAAAGCAUUUGUUGUGGUGAGAACUUUUUCACUUUUGGGUGGAGUGGCGGAUUGUGAUGGAGUAAGUUGAGCUCUCUUUCUUUCGACAAAGAGCCUUAGACAGUAACAGCCAAUGGCAAAUGUCGCAAAGCUUGUCAUCCAGUAAACUUUCCAUAAAUCUGCAUCUCCUGUUGCAGACUUGGAUAAAGCAAGAAGUGCGAGCUUAUAUAGAAAAUUCAGAUAUUCAGCUUUAUUCCUGUUCAACUGAAAAAAGUAGAUUGAACAAUAAAAUUAGAACACCUAUGUCGAACAAUUUCAAAAAUAUCACGAAGCUUCUACAUGAUUUAUAAAGAAAUAAGGAGCUUCAAAUAACAUAUCUUGUUGGAUAGUCUGUAAGAACAAGGAGAUCGAACAAGUUGUAUUCGUGUGUGCGUAUAAUGUAAUAACAGAUACAAUCGAAGGAGACAUCAAAGAAAGGAUAUGAAUGAAUCUGAGUCCAAUGCGAAACCACCUCCUAACAACACAUAAGAAUGACACCACCAUCGAGCUAGAAUCGAGCAAGAUAAUUAUCACUAAAAGAGAGGACUGAGAUGUAUUUAGAAUACUCUGUUUUUUUUAUCAUAAAACCCUUACGACGUAAAUAAAUAUAUAUAGGUGCAGACAGCGGCGGAUCCAGGGUCCGAGCCAAGUGGGGUCCAAUUUUUUUUAAACAUGAUAGGUAGCAAAAUUAAUAUCUUCAGUCUUGUCUUCAUCACUCUGCACCUGUGAGCACAAAUGACUUGCUAUUAUUUUGUGUUUACUUUUCUUGACCCGGGCUUGAAUUUUUUGGCCCCAUAACAUUUUUAUUGGCCCCAUUUUAUAUUACAGUUCUGAUUUUUUAUACAUAAAAAAGUAGGUAUUUUUUAUAUAAAAAUUCAAGUGGGGUCAGGGGCCCCCACCUGACCCCUGUGUAUCCGCCACUGGGUGCAGAGAGCACUACACAAUUUCAAUAAUUAAUUAAACAAAUAAUUUAACAACACCACUCCAAUUUUAAUCGACCCCGAUUUUUGCUUUAUUCAUCUUAGUUCGCAUACACGAAAAAACCCAAAACUUGGGACUUGGGAGGCCACUAACCUUGCCUUGAAAUCCUACAACAAACACAUACAUUACAAACACGUUUAGCCACAGCACAAGUGUCUUGUUAUGUAAAAUCUUGAUUUGCUCUGCUUUAGCUUCUAAAUGUGAAACUUAAGGACCAGCUUUGAAUAAUCAAUUCAUGUCUCACCAUCCUUAAUCAUUUUGAGUAAAUAAAUGUGCUUCAAAAACUCACACGAAGGACACCACUUGUCACGCGCACACAACAAUCACCUACUCAAAAUACAAUAAUUCUCAAAAUGGCUAGACAAUAUAGCGCUAAAACCCACAUUUCUUCUUACAUAUCUAUCAUUACAAAUCAAGAAGCCAAGCAUCAUAGGUUCACAUAUUAAAUCUACUAGGGGUGAGCAAAAAACCGAAAUGAAACCGAAACCGAUCCGAAACCGGGGAAAACCGGAUAAAACCGAUCCGAAACCGAAACCGAAAAAUGAAAAACCGACCCGCUUGUUCGGUUUCGGUUUCGGUUUUAUGUUCAAACCGAUCCGAGAAAAACCGAACCGAACCGAUAAUUAAAAUAAAUAAAUAAGAUUUAUAAUAUAUAUAAUUUAUAUCAACUUUUAAAUUAAUAUAGUAUAUUAUAUUUUUUAAGAUAGUAAGUUAUAGAGAGAGUUAGAUUAUAUGUUUGUUAUUUUCUACUACAUUUGUUAUUUUCUGUUAUUUUUGUUUAGAAUGAAUAUUGUUUUAGUAUCCUGUUUAGAGUGAUUCUUCUUCUUUAAUUUUUUUUGGUUUUGGCUUCUCAACUGCACUUUGCUCUGCCUUAGCACAGUCUGUCUGUUUUAGUGGCUUAUGUUUUUUUUCCCCUCGAUUUUGAAAAGGCUGGAUCUUUCUUUUAUCUAAUGCAAUGCAUUGCUUAUUAAAAAAAAACCAACAAGAAGUCUGUAGAUUCAGUUUUUGCCCCAGAUGUUAAGAACUGAAUAUCAAGUGAAAUAAACUAAGCAAACGCAAACAAGUAGUUUUCUGCCAUGCAUUGGUCUGCUAUUUUCUAAUGUCACUGCCUGAUGCCAUUUUCAAUUUUCAUGUUUAUUAAACUUUAGUAAUUUAUCUUUCAAUCUGUCCAAAAAAAAAUAAAUUAAUUUAUCAUUCAAGUAUACUAAUCAUAGUCGUCUUGUAUAUUUGUAAAUGCGGUUUUAAAACCGAAACCGAUCCGAUUAUAACCGAACCGGAGUUUUCUAAACCGAAACCGAACCGAUGGUAUCGGUUGCAGUUUCGGUUUUAAAUUUUAAAAACCGAGGACAUGCGGUUUCGGUUGCGGUUUUAUCCAAAAACCGCCCCGAACCGAACCACGCUCACCCCUAAAAUCUACCAUAAAAAGAUGAGAUCAUCUUCCACAAAAAUUGACAUAUGAAACAUAACUUGAUUAAAACACAUGACUUGACAUAUAAAACACAUCUAUUCACCUAAGCAAAUUAUGAAAAAACACAUGACUUAUUUUUUAGCAACCAAGCAUUUUUUCGACAGCUUAUGAGCCCGACCAAACAGCAUGUUUGGCCGGCUCAUAAGCUACUUAUUUUUGGUUUAUAAACUACUAAUAAGAGCUAAGCCAAACAUCCCAGGCCACAGUAAAACCCCAAUUCUCCCCUUUUCAACCUCCUUAAUCAAGCCCAGUCUUCGAAAAAAAAUCCCAAAUUUUGUUCGCAACAUGGGUUUAAAUAGAUCAACUAAAUUACCGAAGCAAGAGGAAAGCACAAUCUCUUAAGAUCACCGGAGUAUGGCCGGAGAUCACCGGAGCAUUGCCGGAAAAUAUGAUGAAAACUGAUAAAAGUUUCGGAAACAUACCUCAGAAGAGACGUUCUUGAUGAAGCUUCGAAUCAUCGAAAACAAGGCAGUGAUUCUGUCAGCGACGACGAUGACAUGGCGGUGGUAGCUGCCUUGCUCCAUGCAUACAUAGUAAAUAUAACAAGACAAAGAAAUUAAUAACAUAAAAACAGCAAGUACAAUCCAGCUUAGUUCCUUCACGUUAACCAUUUUGUUUUUGUUUCCUACAAAAGCUAAGAAUAGAAAGCAAAGAGUUAUGUUGAGAGGAAGAGUUUAGUAUUUGUUUUAUAUAUGAUUAUUGAUGUAGACACAUGUAUUGAUCUGUAAUCUCAGCCGUUGCAUUUGCACGGUAGAAUUAAUGACGGUGAAAGUUUGUAAUGUGGAAGUGUGAAUGGUCGGCAGAGAGUAGCGAGCAGAGUGUAUGAACUCAAAAUCUGAUGCCCUUAUCAUGCAAGGAAACUGCCGGGAAAUUGCUUCCGCGCUGUGUAAGCAACUUGUUUAUACCAAGCUAUUUCAUAUCGUCCUAUUUUGUGUAAAACUUUGGGGCCGUUUGGGUUAGCUUAAAAUAAGUGACUUCUUAGUUAAAUUAAAGAAGUGGAGUAGAAGUGAGAAGUAAAUAAGUGAAUAAAGUGUUUGGAAAAGAAGCCGAAGCACUGAGAGAGAAGGUAGCAUUCUCAGAUUCUUAAAAAUGCUUCUACUUCUUUACACAAACGGGUCAAGAAAAGCAGAAGCUGGAAGCAGCUUCUGCUUCCACCAUCAGAAGCUUCCAGCCUUCCACCAUCCAAACAGCCAACAGGCCCUUUAUCUGGCUUGUCUCACUUGGUCAAAUCCUCAAAUUUGUCUGGAAAACCUUCCAGCCUACAUGUAAUAUCAUCAUGAUUGAACCACCUAAACGACUAUUCCGUAAUCCCUAUAUCCCAAAGUGACCCACUUCUUUUUGCACGCAUCUUCGUAGGAAUACCUUUUUUUUUCUUGUCACAAUCUUCUGUAUGGAUACUUAUAAAUGAUAUCUUUUUUGUUUUUUUUUUCUAUACAAAAACAUAAGAUUCAUAUUUUUUGAAAAAACAAAACAAAUUGAAAAAUAAUAUUUAUAAAUAUCUCUUCCGAACGUAUUGAAAUAUAUGAAAAAGUCAAAUGAUCACUUUUUUCGGACGAAGGGAGUAACGUAUUCUAAGUUUAUCCGAUAGGAAGUUAAACCUCUGUACUAACUUAUUUUAACUUUUCAAGUUUAAUUAAAUAUAUAUAAUUAUUAUAAAAGAUGAGUUUUAAUAUUUCAUUAGAUUGCUAUUAUUAACAAUAUGAGACCAAGUUUUCCGCACAACUAGCGUGUUCUGUAUAUGAUAUUAUGUAUUUUGUAAUAUUCCGUACAAUUCGUUUUCUUUAAAUGUAUCAUCAUAUUUUUCGCUUACAUUCGUGAGAACCCUUAUAUUUGAUUUAUCACAUAUAAUAUCUUUAAUUUAAGUGACAUGUAAUAUAUUUGAUUUCAGAUUAAAAUACAAAUUUAUAUUUGUUUUUGUAGAAAAAAUUAUAUGAAAAUGAGUUUUAAAUCAUAUAAAUCAAAGUCAAAAUGAGUGACAUAUAUAUUUAGUUAUUAAAUUUGAAUAUAUUUCACUCGUUUUAACUCUGUUUAUAUGAUCCAAAGUUCUAUUUUAUUUUAUUUUUACAAAAUGUCAAAUAUACAAUUUGUUUAUAAUGUUAAAUCCAUUAUAUUACGUUUAUAUAUUAUGAUAUUAUACAUGAAAAAUCAAACACACAAUAUAUCAUAAAUUUUACAAAACACUUCAAAUAUUUUAUACAUGACCCAUGAGUUAUGUAAACCUUUUUCUUACUGCGUUUUUUCUCAAAAUGCAAAACUCUUUUCUGAAUUAUACUUUUAUUUACAAAACACAAGCAUUUCAAACGAAAGUUAUAGUAAUUUUUCUAAAAUAAUGAGUAUUCUCCAAUAAGGUAUUUUUCAUAAAACCAACCCUUUAUCUAAAUGGGUAAACUAAUUAUUUUACUAUUUCUUAAAUUAUGCCUGACAUCUUAAAUAAUGACGAAAUCAAAUUUGGAACACCACACACAAGUUAGAAAACCAAGUCUCUCAAUUUCUCACACACAGCAACGCAGAACUCAUUGCCAUACAUAUAUGCCUGGUGGAAAUUAAUAUGUGAAAAUCUAGUAUUGCAGAAGAGAAAACAGAACAACUAAAUUCCGAAGACACGAGUAAUUCCCAUUCUUCCUACCUUGAGCUCAUGACUUCAAAUCAUCUCAUUACUCGUAAAUGUAUUUAACUAGCACCGCAACGAAUUAACCUACAUCACAUAAUAUAAGAAACACGUAAUUGGAAUGUAGUUCAUCGUGAAGGAAUAGAAAUAGAAGAAAUGAAGAUUCACGACUUCAUUCCGGAGGAAGAAAUAGAAGAGGUUGAGGAUGACGCCGUGGUGAUCAGGGCCAACCCUCGGGUAAAGCGACUAAUACGAACUCCUAGGGCAUUCCGUCCCUUUGAUAUGUAUACGUUUGGAUUGGUCCCUUUGAUAUGUAUAUGUUUGGAUUGGACACGAAGACUAAGAAAAGUGUAUAAAGUAAUACUCCCUCCAUUUUGGAAUAAACACGCAUAUUAAGAAAAAAGUUAGUUAGAUGAAAUCUUAUCUCAUAUAUCAUUAAUUAGUGACUUGAUAAGUGAGAAUAUAGUUGAGUUUCAAAAAAAUCACAAUAAAUAUAGGGAUUUAGUGCAUUGAGAAAUGAGAAUAAUGUUGAGUUUCAAAAAAGUCACAAUUAAUAUAUAGAUAAAUUUGUAUUGAAAGAAGAGAGGGACAAGUAUUUUGGGACAAUUUUUUUUUCUAAAAGGGACCUAUAAAUUGAGACGGAGGGAGUAUAAAGUGAGAGGAAAGAGAAGGAAGAGUGAGUAAAGUAGUGGGACCCAUCAAUAUAUAAUUAAUAGAUUUGUAAAAGUGGAUGAAAGUAGUGGGUGGUUGGGAUUUUUAUAUUAUAAAAAGUUACCCCUUUGGAAAGGUUUUGAAAUGUAUAGAAUUGAAUGAGACAUCCAAAAAAGGAAAGUGUAUAAAAAUCAAAGGGAUGGAGGGAGUAGUAUAUAACGAUAAAUUCAUGCAUUUAUAUAUUUACAUGCAUCUGAAUUGAUUGUGUUAUUAAUCUUAAAACAAUGUUUUUGAUCAUGUCAAUAUAUAAUUUGAAUGUAUGUAAAUUUUUCCUUUACGAUAUGAAAGGCACCCAAAUCUAUAGGGCCGGCCCUGGUGGUGAUUCUUGGCUAAAUCGAGCUUGGUGGUUGAUCUUAUGGUUUUACUCCAUCUGUUCCGUUUAAUUCUAUACGUUUCUUUUAACUGCUCGACACGCAUUUUAAUUCUCUUAUAAAAUAUAGUUCUGUAACUUAUUUUUGAGAUUUUAUCCGAACUUUAAUUCAAAAAAGAAAAUUCUCAAAAAUAUAUUGCAUAACUACAUUUUGCAGGAGUAUUAAAGUCUCUGCCGCGUCUCCGUCCCCAAUGUAUACUACUCAGGGGGACAGAGGGAGUAAGUUUCUAGGCUGUUCCAAAUUAUGUUCUAGGGUUUAGGCUCCCGUAGUUGUCUGUCUGUUUUAGGUGCUGGUCUCGUUUUCUUUAGGUUGUCCUUGCUGCUGUGUACUUUGUGUCUCCUAGUUAUCUACUACUCCCUCUGGUCCUUUAUAUAAGGUACCUUGACUUUUUGCACAUUGUUUUAGGAGUUUUGACCAUAUAUUUAAAUUUAAUAUUUUUAAAUUUUUUUUUCUGAAUAAAAAUAUAACAUAAAUAUUAUUAUGUUAUAAUAAUUCAAAACAGAAUAAUUUUUAUCUAUGUUGUUGUUUUCUUUAUAAAGAUUCUUUUUCUUUAUCUUAUCUUUAAGGUUCCCGGUCACCAGUCAUCAAUAACCACCAAUAAGUCAAUAACCAGAAAGAGUCUAAUCUCAAUUAUUUAAUAAUUGUUAAAUUAUUUUAUUACAUUAUACUUUUUAUCCCGACAUAAUGAUAACACAUAUUUAAUCCCUCCGUCUUUUAAUAUUUUUUCUGUUUCUUUUUGUCACGGUUGACGACACACAUUUUUUAUCAUUAUAAUCUUUAAUUUUGUCUUAGGGGUCAUUUGAUAACACCUUAAUGAAAGGAAUCAUUGGAGUCGUCCAGAAUUUAUUUGAUCAAGAGUGUUUGAUAAACUUCGUGAUAGGCUGGACGACAAAGAAAAAGUUCUGAACCACAGCACCUAGUUUCUCUCCCUCAACCAUCUAGCGGAGUGUUUAGUAAAACAAAAAAUCCACUUCAGCAUGACUCUCGCUCAAUUAAUAAUAUAUUUGUCUAGUUCCUAAUAAAAUUUAUAUAUGUCAUAUUGCAUACUCUCUUUGAUUUAUUAUAUAAGUUGUUUGACUAUUAAAAAGAAUUUUUAGAAGAUUUGACAAUAUGCUUAAAAUUAUUUUUUUUUAAUUUUUUUAAUAAAAAUAUUUAUAUUUUAAAAAAAUUACAAAUAUAUUAAUUUUUACUAUAUGAUCAAAGCACCCAAAAUUACGUUUAUAUUAAACAACCUAUAAAUUGCAUUAGAGAGAGUAUCAUUUAGCAGAAUUUUUUAAUAAAUUAUUCAUCAUUCAGCUAAAUUAUAAAAAAUGUUAACAAACGACCUUUCUCAUCCAGUAAUUAAGAUUGACCGAUCAUCCAGGAAUCUCAGUGAUCCAGAAAUGACGUUAAGAUUUAACAAAUGACCCCUUAGUAACAAAUAUAAAAGCUUCACCGUAUUAAAGUACUUACAAAUACGAAUCCAACAAGAUCACUCAUGAUUAUAUUUAGUCUUAUAGAUAAGUUUUAAAUUAGUAACUUGUCUCACGUGAUGAACAGUCCCGAUAUUUUAAAUAGAAAAAGUUUGAUAAAUGAUGAUUAAAAAAAUCUUGAUUUGGAAUGAUGAUAGGUUAAUCUCUCCCUGUCAAGAUCAGGGUCGGCCCCCCCUUGCUCUUCCCGAAAAUAGUGAAAGGAAAAGAGUAGACGAUAAAGGAAUAGGAUGACUAGUACUUUAUUUAUUUUAAACCGAUCCAUUUUCUUCUACUUGUAUUUUUUCCUUCCCAUAUUCAAAAAAUGUAUUAAAUAAAAGAAAAGAGUAAAAUGUUUACUUUCAAAAAAAAAAGAGUAAAAAGUUAAAUACAUAUCAAUAUUUAAUUAGUAUUUUUAGAGAGAACAAUAAUAAAUUUGAGGAUUUUUCCUCAUAGAAAAUAAAUUUAGAAAGUUGGUACGGUUAAUUUUAUGUUAACAAAUAUUUGUCUUUAAAAAGAACUUAAUUAUUACCUUCACAGUAGAAAACAAUUUUGCGGGUGUUACUUCUGCUUUUAUCUUAUGAUGAUUUGGAAAAAAAGUUAGGCUAAUUUAUGAUUUUAUAUGGGAAUUUUUGAGUUGAACUCAGAACUUGAGUUUCUUAUACAUAAUUACAUAUGCCUGCUGGAAAUUAACAUGUGAAGAUCUAGUAUUGCAGAAGAGAAAACAGAGCAAUCAAGUUCCGAUGACACGAGUAACUCUCAUUCUUCCUACCUUGAGCUUAUGACUUCAAAUCAUCUCACAAAUUUAUUUAACUAGCACCGCAAUGAAUUAACCUACAUCACAUAAUAUAACAAACACGUAAUCAUAACAAUUGGAAUGUACUUCAUCACGAAGGAGUCAAGAAUCAAAGGUUUCGUGUAAAAACUAUCAGAGUUUCUAUUACAGUCAUCAAAGAAGAUGCAUCACAUUAAGAGAACAACAACAAACAACCAUAUCCAGGCGUUGAAUUUCAAAACAAUAUGAAUUACACACCCUUUGCAUUGUUCCGGUGAUAAGAAUAUCAAAUAUAUAUUACAAAUAAAUCAACUUUCGAUUGCUAUCCGUCUCAGGUCAUUCAGUCUUACCAUCAACUUGUAGUGCCGCUUUCUGUCGGUUUGCAUCUGCAGAUAACUGACUCUCCGCAUCAUCGAUAUAUAUUGGCACCUUAAGUGGAUCAGCAUAU
rnacentral:lncRNA from 1 species